ensembl:lncRNA
GUUAAUUUGCUAGCUGCAGGUUUUUUCUUUCAUUCAAGUACCAUCACUGCAAGUGGUCGACCAGAGCACUAUAUGUAACUGUAGCGGUGUAAUAAGCUAUCAGUGGAGCGUAUAACCUCGGAGAGACGUUAUAUUACCGUGGAAAGAGUAUAACAGAUAACAGCUAGCUGUUAAGACUUAGAUACUAGUGCACAUGUGGUUUUUGCUAAGAAGUUAGCGAACAGCCAACUGGAGGAGCAGAGACUGUGUUUGUCACGGAGAAAAGAGCUGUGGACUUCGCGGAUGACUGUCUCCAUUUUGUUUGAGGCUUCUACGCACUCCAGCUACAUUCAGGCCUGCAACGGGGAACUUGGUACUAGUAUUUUGUUUGUUUAUGGGGUAAUGUGGAUUUUUUCUUGGUUGAUCUGUGACGUUUAAAACUUAUUAAGGGAUUCUGAGAACUGUUUAGAAUUUAAAACUGUAGUUGAAUGUUUGAUGACUGAACGUUCUUGUUAAAUAUUGUGUCUCUAUUAGUAAAAAAGGUUAAAGAUUUAAGCAUUGGUUUGAUUACGAGUGAGUGGUUGGUAUUUCUGUUUAUAAAUAGAAAAGAACUCAGGGUAGCUCCUUAAGUAAAAGGUAGUACACCAAAGGGGUGUUACACAUAUAUACAUAUAUACUCACAUACAGAUCUCUUUUACAUAAAACACAUCCAUCCUAUACAAAACAAAAUCCCUCAUAAAAUUAAAUGAAAUUCUCUGUUAACACAUUUUCAACAGAAAGGACAGUCCAUAUGUAUAUUGUUAGGUGAAGAUGAACAGACUUGCAGUUAAAUACUCAUAAUCAAGAUCACUAAUAAUUAUAGAAUGUACAGUAAAAUAGAAUAAUGUAAGUAACACUAAAAAUAUUAAGUAUAAUGCUCUCAGGAUUAUGGAACUAAAACACAGGAGUAUCAGUGCUAAUAUGUUAAUGUGUAAAUGUAAGUCAGAGACAUAGACAUUGGCACUACCUCCACUACCAGGUUUUAAGUUUAAGGGGGCAAUUAGUUUUUCACAUGGUUGAUAGGUGGAGGAUAACUUUUUUGCAUCAGUAAAAAUAAAUAGAUAAAAACUGUAUUGUGUGUUGCCUUUGUUUUAUGUCGUAUUUUGUUUGAAGAUCUAAAACUAUAUAGUAUGACAUAUACACAAAAACAGAAGAAAUCAAGAUGGGGCAAAUACUUUUUCACAUCACUGGGUUUAACAGGUGUAAUUGGUGUAUAAAAAAUGUUAUGGGUGUAUAUAAUAUAGAGGUGUAUACAACAAAUGUAUAAAACAUGUAUAAGAUAAGAUAAGAUAAGAUAAGAUAAGAUGUACUUUUAUUGGUCCCCCAUAAGGGAAAUUCAGAUUGACACAGCAGCACAAGUAGGAUGAGUAACAUCAAAGAAAGAAAGAAAAUAAUUUCCAUAAAUACCUACACAAUAAAAAUAAUAGAAACAAUAAAAGAGAUCUGUGUGUAUGUACAUAUGCUAGAAGGUGUACCACAGGUCACACCCUUACUUUCUCACAAUGUAACAGAAUUAACACGGACUCUGACUCUGAAAGCUAUGCUAACAGAAGUCAUGCUAACAAAUAGAGAGAUAAGUGUACACAACUGCACAGAUUUCAGUUUUUCACCAUAUAAGGAAUACAUAAUAUUAGAAAAAUACUUCAAGAUUCCUUUUUUACUUCUCUGACACAAAACAGGGUUUUCAGAAGAACCUGUAGCAUUUUUAAACAGACUUGAAGAGAAGAGGUUCUUCUACAGAGAUUUAAGGACAUCACAGUUACUUACAUUCAGAGGAAACAGGUGUGUUACAGUGCCAUCUCUCCACUAUGUUAAUAACAGAUCUGUGUGUGUGUGUCUGUGUGUGUCUGUGUAUGUGUGUGUGUUAUACUUGUGAUUUAUGGCCUUCUGUAUGUAGGGCUUUUUUUCUUUCAUUUUGACUUACAAUUCAUCAGAAAAGUAAUAAAGCAGGAAGAAUGACACACAAUUUCAAAUCAUUCUCUUUUGAUUAACUAUGAGCAUGAAAAACAUCAGCACCUUAAUUAGCCAUGAUGUCUGCAACAUCUGCAAAACAACACACACACACACACACACACACACACACACACACACACACACAUUGUAAUACACACAAAAACAAACUGCUGUGAAAAUGAUCCUUAAUUACACUCAGCAUUAGCAGCGUCACAUUUGAACACUGCUGCGGCGUAAAACAAAGACAUUAAUGUUGAGAAAAAUAAACAUUUUAUUAAAAACAACAUGAACUGAAAUAAGUAAGUAAUAACACACUUUAGGUUGUGGUGUUAUAGGAAAAUAAUCAACACAGUGGUUGUGUGAUGAAGUGUUAUGUGAAGAGUUACUUUUACAAACUGCUGACACUGGAGACUCCUUCCAGAAUUUUAAAAUAAAUUUCUCCUUACAAAUAAUUUAACCACAUCAUUUAUUGUUUACACACAAUUCUAUUUUAAUCUGUUUAUGCGGCAUGUCUGCUGUACACGUCCCUGUGAACAAGCCGUUACUAUAGCAACCAUAACGCAUCAGAACGACUGCAUUAAUAAAACCCUGCGCUAUUGUCAGAGUCGCUGUUAUAGAAAACUCAUCAACGCCUUCAGAUCCAAGAGUUCUACUGCUUUGUGGUAUACACACAGGUAAUAAUUAUAGGUUUUUUCUUGUUUUUAUUUACAUAGUUUACUUAUUUAGUUUUGAACCCCUCUGUUUAUCCUUGAUGUUUUUCACAUAUUUGUGUCAUUUUAAAUGCUGCCUUAGUUUGGCACUAACGCUAAGCUCAGCAUUUAGCAUAAUAUUUAUUUAGAAUGAAGUGUAGGUUUUCUUGCACAAGGCAUCGAGGGAUUGAGAAGUAUUUAUAGAGCUGAGAUAUAGAGAUGUUUAGAUUUUAUUUAUGUAAAGAUUUUGAAUGUAAUUUUAAAGCUUUCUGUAAAUUGUGCUUAACAUUUAAUCAUUGACUACGUUUACAUGGACAGCAGUAAUCUAAUUAUUGACCUUACCCUGAGUAAGAUAAUAAUGUGAUUAAGGUGUUUACAUGAGUCGCUUUUAGAAUACUCCUGUCAUGUUCCCGUUUUACAUGUUUUAGAAUAUAAUUAGAUUAACAGCCCGCGUCAUUACGUCACCGCGCUACGCCAUCCGACGUCCCUAGAAUUUCACGUAUCAACAUACAGUUCAUCUUCGUUAUGGGACCGUAUACAGUUUUGGGUGUUUUUAUUAAUUUUUUUUACGAAUGCUUUAAGUGCAGUUAAUUAUUUGUCAUGCGGUACGUGCUAUUAGACAACUGCUUGAAGCCGUGGGUGAGUCCCAAAUCGCGUUCAUAAUGUGAUUAAGGUGUUUACAUGUCUGUAAUACACGUCCAUAAUGCGACUAAAACAGGAAUACUCCACCUGUCUUAAUUCGAUUAUUGCUUAAUUCGAGUAUGACCUUAAUUAGAUUAAGGUAAUUAAUGUAUGGUCUUAAUCGGGUUAAGAGUGGAUUAUUGUUGUCCAUGUAAACG